rnacentral:rRNA from 1 species
GUGCCAGCCGCCGCGGUAAUACGGAGGGUGCGAGCGUUAAUCGGAAUUACUGGGCGUAAAGCGCACGCAGGCGGUUUGUUAAGCUAGAUGUGAAAGCCCCGGGCUCAACCUGGGAUGGUCAUUUAGAACUGGCAGACUAGAGUCUUGGAGAGGGGAGUGGAAUUCCAGGUGUAGCGGUGAAAUGCGUAGAUAUCUGGAGGAACAUCAGUGGCGAAGGCGACUCCCUGGCCAAAGACUGACGCUCAUGUGCGAAAGUGUGGGUAGCGAACAGGAUUAGAUACCCUGGUAGUCCACACCGUAAACGCUGUCUACUAGCUGUGUGUGUCUUUAAGACGUGCGUAGCGAAGCUAACGCGCUAAGUAGACCGCCUGGGGAGUACGGCCGCAAGGUUAAAACUCAAAUGAAUUGACGGGGGCCCGCACAAGCGGUGGAGCAUGUGGUUUAAUUCGAUGCAACGCGAAGAACCUACCUACACUUGACAUGCAGAGACCUUCCAGAGAUGGAUUGGUGCUUCGGAACUCUGACACAGGUGCUGCAUGCCUGUCGUCAGCUCGUGUCGUGAGAUGUUGGGUUAAGUCCCGCAACGAGCGCAACCCUUGUCCUUAGUUGCCAGCCUUAAGUUGGGCACUCUAAGGAGACUGCCGGUGACAAACCGGAGGAAGGUGGGGACGACGUCAAGUCAUCAUGGCCCUUACGUGUAGGGCUACACACGUGCUACAAUGGCAUUUACAGAGGGAAGCGAGACAGUGAUGUGGAGCGGACCCCUUAAAGAAUGUCGUAGUCCGGAUUGGAGUCUGCAACUCGACUCCAUGAAGUCGGAAUCGCUAGUAAUCGCAGGUCAGAAUACUGCGGUGAAUACGUUCCCGGGCCUUGUACACACCGCCCGUCACACCAUGGGAGUGGGAUGCAAAAGAAGUAGUUAGUCUAACCUUCGGGAGGACGAUUACCACUUUGUGUUUCAUGACUGGGGUGAAGUCGUAACAAGGUAACC